ensembl:lncRNA
AGAGCAGCUUCUGCGGGAGGAGCCGGGCUCUGGGCGCUGCGAGCCCAGGCAAGACAGCCUUUAGGGCGGGUCCGCCGACCCCCAGGCCCACGGCCACCCACAGCCUCCGCUCGCCCCCUGCCGGCCGAGCCCAGAACGACAGCCCCGCCGGCCUCGGUCUGUGGGCAACACCCCAGAAUCAGCGGGAAGCGACCACCGGUCCCACGGGGAUGAGGACCCGCCUGGACAGCUCACGUGGGACAAGCUGGCUUUGCCGCCUACAUAUCUGACCACUUUAGACAGGGCCUCCUCCCUAGGGAGCCUUCUUGACUCACCUGAGCACAGCUGAUCUCCUGCUUCCUGCUGUGACUGCACUUGAGACGCUUUGGUAUGGUGGCUUCAAGAUUCAGAGGCGAGGUGACUCUGAAGAAUGGAAAUGAGAGGCCGCCGAACAGAGUGAUCAAGAGCACGGCUCUGGAGCCAGGCUGCCUGGGAGCAAGGCUUUCUCUUCCACUCGCCAGCUCUGAGAUCUUAGUUAUGGGUCCUUCUUGCUGUGGCAUGUGGGACGCCACCUCAACGUGGCCUGACGAGUGGUGCCAUGUCCGCACCCAGGAUUCGAGCCAGCAAAACCCGGGCCGCCGAGGCAGAACGUGUGAACUGAACCACUCGGCCAUGGGGCCGGCCCCUUAAUAUUCUUAAUAACAUAGGAAGAAGGGACCCCGCAUUUUCAUUUUGCGCUGGGCCAACAAAUAACGGAGCAGUUCCUGCAAGCAGAUUCCUCUGGUGCAGAAGCCCCUUGCCUUCCUCCUCGUCUGCUCACACUGGUUCCCUUCUCUCAUCCCAGGCGGACCCCCCACCCGGGAGCUUUCCCACAGACUGAGCCUUUGUUUUCCUCCAACAUUUUCAUGAAAAAGUUCAAGCAUAUAGCGAAGUAGAAAGAAUCGUAAACACCUGUACACCUGCCACCUAGGUUCUGCCGUGAAUAUUUCCCGUACCUUCUGCCUUGUGUGUCUAUGGCGAGGCUGUUGCUGUCUUACCUACCCUCAUCCUGGACCCUGUCCUCACCUACUGGCCUCUCGUCUCUUGCUGACGGCUCUAAAGCUUCCAGCCCCGCUGUCUGGACCCAGAAAGGCCUCCCGGGCUGGGGUGGGACGGCGGCCUGCAGGAAGGGGCUCUGCGGCUGCUGGAGGUUCUGGAGAACCUGCUGGGGAAAGGCUGGGACCCAAGUCCCGCCAGACCUGUGGAACCAGGUGCAGAACAGACUAGGAUGUGUUCCAGAAGAGCAAGGAAGGUGCCAUUCUGGAGUGCGUGGACUGAGAUUCCUACUCGUGACCAUAGUCCCUGUUGGUUCCUUUCAUAGUUUCUUAUGCCUCACACAGUCUUCCAAGCGUUUCUCACAAACCUGGUCUGCUGGGCAGACCCCGGUAGCCCUGGGAGGGAGGAGGGAAGAGAUUUUUCUUUCCUCUUCACAGCUGGGGAAACUGAGCCUCAGAAAUUCCUCGCUGACCUGCCCAAGGUCCCGGGGCUCAAAGAGGCGAUCUGGGAACCACACCCAGGUCCUCCGACCCUAAGACCAGGCCUCUUUCUUUUGAUCUCGUCGGGGGAGGGCAACAGUGUCACAUUCCCCUGGGUAACUUGAGAGAAAAAGAAAAAAAACUUUCUCUCUAGGAAAAAAGAGGGUGUCUGGGCUGUGAUUUACCUCUGGGAGCACUUGGGCCAGGAGCGAUCACAUUUCAAAGGGUUAGAACUCAUUUCUUUACUUUUCCAGCUUGGGCCCAGAGCUCAGAACCGGGUGGGCUUCUCCAGGCCCCUCCCAGCAUGCCCACCCCCUCCCAAGUGCCACAGGCAGGUGACACCUGUAUUAUUGCUAAGGGUUAAAAAGCCCCCGAAUCAAUAAAACCCAUUAAUGAGUGUUGGUACCUCGAAGGCUACAGAUAAACCCCUUCUACUCGGUAAGUUCAAUCCCAUAAAACAGCUCUCCUCUUUCGAUCCUGGCAUUCAUUUGAUAGAAAAUGUGCAGAAAUUUUUAAAAGGUGACUUACUAAUUGCCUGUAAAAUAAAAGGCAGAUGGAAGCUUUAUUACAGUUGAAGGAAGUCGGGAAUAUUAAGGUAAAAUGUCAAAUAACAAUUGAUUUUCCUCAGACAUAAAGGGGCGAUUUAUGGCUUCCUAGUUACUACAAAUGAGAAAUUAUUUGAAGUUUUAAAAAGUAUGAGGCGAAAUAAAGAUUAAAUAGAAGAUGAAAUCAUAGGGAUUUCUCUGGGAGGUGACUUCAGUGCCCCUG